GCCUCAUUGUGCUGCUCUGAGCUCAGAUUGAUGGUGUUUGUGCUGCUUGAGCUCUCAGGGAGCUCUCUUGUUGUAUUUGCCCGUCAGUAGGUCACAAGCUAAGGGGGACCAGGUCAUGGCUCCAUCACCUGACAGAUACACAGACCUCAUGUUGUCCCCAAGUUUUAAAACUUGAACUAAAUCUUUAGUCCUACUUGGAACUGUCCGUGGUAAAUAAACCAAGCUAAGUGAGUUGGUCGUUGAAACUGCUGGCCCAGAUGGUCUCACCCACCGCACCCCCACCAUUCUCAUGGUCUACAUUGUAAAAGGAAUGAUGGGACAAGCACAAUCAGCGGGAUUGGCUGCAGCUGAGGCGGAUGGCCGAGAGAAGCUGGGGUCAUUGCCAGUUGCAGUGGAGGACAGACUGUGCAGACCCAGAUCACAGUCUGCUGGGUCAUCCUCUAAAGCUGGUGGUGGAACCUACGUAGUGAAUGACUCCCGCAGGGCUUCCCUGGUGAUGAGGUGGGCUAGCUCCAGCCACUCACGCAUCUGCUACACAUACUCUGGAGCUGAGGGUUGGUUGUCUGGAUCGUGGGGUGAACCUGCGACCGCUGGCUUGCUCAAUUCUAAGCCAAACAUCAUGAAGUUUGAGGUGAAGCCUGUAUUACUGUGCUUGGUCGCCCUGUAGGCCAUAACAGCAUACAGGAUCAUCAGGUCCCAGUCACCAUGGCACAAUGUGGAGGCCAUUAUGUUUUGGAGCAUUGCUGGCCAUCUGUAAGGAAGAGGACUCCCUUGUUUAUGUAUUUAUUUAUUCAAAUUGAUGUAUUAUAUACUGUGGAGGAAGGUUGGGAUUUAAAAACAUACCUGUUAGUGGGAAAAUGGUUUAGUCUGUGACAGCUGAAAGGUAUUUAACACUGCCAGGUGUCAUUAGAGAUUAUUGUUGUGCAGUGAAGAAGCUCGACAUGUGAAUUGUUUGUGAGAAGAGCUGCAUGAAAAAUAAAUACUUGUUGUUCCACUGCA